CAGACCGGUCUGUCGCUGGUAUUUUAUACAAGAGGAAAGUCCGGGCAACACAGAGCAUCCUACUUCCUAACAGAAAGCUGUCCGCGAGGGUAGAGUAAUGCAGAAGAGAAUAACCGCCCCUUUCCGGGGUAAGGGUGAGAAGGUGGGGUAAGAGCCCACCAGCCGCAUAGCGAUAUGCGGGCUGUGCAUCUUAGGAGUUGUAAGGUCAUGUAAACCGGCAUUAACGAGGGUUGCUCGCCCCACGUCGGAGGGUGGACCGCUAGAGCUGGCCGGUGACGGUCGGAGUAGAUAAAUGACAGACAUCCCUGCCAGUCAGGGAAACAGAACCCGGCUUACAGGUCUGCUGC
rnacentral:RNase_P_RNA from 1 species